CCCGCUGAACUUAAGCAUAUCAAUAAGCGGAGGAAAAGAAACUAACAAGGAUUCCCCUAGUAACUGCGAGUGAAGCGGGAAAAGCUCAAAUUUAAAAUCUGGGGGUCCCUGUGGCCCUCCGAGUUGUAAUCUAGAGAAGUGCUAUCCGCGCUGGACCGUGUACAAGUCUCCUGGAACGGAGCGUCAUAGAGGGUGAGAAUCCCGUCUUUGACACGGACUACCAGGGCUUAUGUGAUGUGCUCUCAAAGAGUCGAGUUGUUUGGGAAUGCAGCUCUAAAUGGGUGGUAAAUUCCAUCUAAAGCUAAAUAUUGGCGAGAGACCGAUAGCGAACAAGUACCGUGAGGGGAAGAUGAAAAGAACUUUGGGAAGAGAGUUUAAACAGUACGUGAAAUUGUGAAAGGGAAACGCUUGAAGUCAGUCGCGUUGCCCAGAAAUCAACCUUGCUUUUGCUUGGUGUACUUUCUGGUUAACGGGUCAGCAUCAAUUUUGACCGGUGGAUAAAGGUCAGGGGAAUGUGGCAUCUUCGGAUGUGUUAUAGCCCUUGGUUGCAUACAUCGAUUGGGAUUGAGGAACUCAGCAUGCCGCAAGGCCGGGUUUUUAACCACGUACAUGCUUAGGAUGCUGGCAUAAUGGCUUUAAUCGACCCGUCUUGAAACACGG
rnacentral:rRNA from 1 species